rnacentral:rRNA from 1 species
AUGAACGCUAGCGACAGGCUUAACACAUGCAAGUCGAGGGGCAGCAUGAUUUGUAGCAAUACAGAUUGAUGGCGACCGGCGCACGGGUGAGUAACGCGUAUGCAACUUACCUAUCAGAGGGGGAUAGCCCGGCGAAAGUCGGAUUAAUACCCCAUAAAACAGGGGUCCCGCAUGGGAAUAUUUGUUAAAGAUUCAUCGCUGAUAGAUAGGCAUGCGUUCCAUUAGGCAGUUGGCGGGGUAACGGCCCACCAAACCGACGAUGGAUAGGGGUUCUGAGAGGAAGGUCCCCCACAUUGGUACUGAGACACGGACCAAACUCCUACGGGAGGCAGCAGUGAGGAAUAUUGGUCAAUGGCCGAGAGGCUGAACCAGCCAAGUCGCGUGAAGGAAGAAGGAUCUAUGGUUUGUAAACUUCUUUUAUAGGGGAAUAAAGUGGAGGGCGUGUCCUUUUUUGUAUGUACCCUAUGAAUAAGCAUCGGCUAACUCCGUGCCAGCAGCCGCGGUAAUACGGAGGAUGCGAGCGUUAUCCGGAUUUAUUGGGUUUAAAGGGUGCGUAGGUGGUGAUUUAAGUCAGCGGUGAAAGUUUGUGGCUCAACCAUAAAAUUGCCGUUGAAACUGGGUUACUUGAGUGUGUUUGAGGUAGGCGGAAUGCGUGGUGUAGCGGUGAAAUGCAUAGAUAUCACGCAGAACUCCGAUUGCGAAGGCAGCUUACUAAACCAUAACUGACACUGAAGCACGAAAGCGUGGGGAUCAAACAGGAUUAGAUACCCUGGUAGUCCACGCAGUAAACGAUGAUUACUAGGAGUUUGCGAUACAAUGUAAGCUCUACAGCGAAAGCGUUAAGUAAUCCACCUGGGGAGUACGCCGGCAACGGUGAAACUCAAAGGAAUUGACGGGGGCCCGCACAAGCGGAGGAACAUGUGGUUUAAUUCGAUGAUACGCGAGGAACCUUACCCGGGUUUGAACGUAGUCUGACCGGAGUGGAAACACUCUUUCUAGCAAUAGCAGAUUACGAGGUGCUGCAUGGUUGUCGUCAGCUCGUGCCGUGAGGUGUCGGCUUAAGUGCCAUAACGAGCGCAACCCUUAUCACUAGUUACUAACAGGUGAAGCUGAGGACUCUGGUGAGACUGCCAGCGUAAGCUGUGAGGAAGGUGGGGAUGACGUCAAAUCAGCACGGCCCUUACAUCCGGGGCGACACACGUGUUACAAUGGCAUGGACAAAGGGCAGCUACCUGGUGACAGGAUGCUAAUCUCCAAACCAUGUCUCAGUUCGGAUCGGAGUCUGCAACUCGACUCCGUGAAGCUGGAUUCGCUAGUAAUCGCGCAUCAGCCAUGGCGCGGUGAAUACGUUCCCGGGCCUUGUACACACCGCCCGUCAAGCCAUGGGAGCCGGGGGUACCUGAAGUCCGUAACCGCAAGGAUCGGCCUAGGGUAAAACUGGUGACUGGGGCU